UUUUUUAGGAUAUGGACGAAUGUUGGAAUGUUUGAUGAUGUAUGAUUGAAUUGUUUCCAGGAUUUUUAGAUAAAUCUUUCUCAGGUUUUUUAAAAUAAAAACAUGCCGAUCAAAGAACGCAGUAAUCGAGUACUAAAUAAAUAAUGUUCAAUAAAAAAAGGCAACGUCUGCAGCAGUAAUAAUUUGUGAUACGGAUACGAAGACGGUCUCAAGAAAGUUCUAUCAUCAACUUCGCGAAAAAUUAGGGGACUUGGGAGACAUAGAAAUCAUUUCCGACUGCUGAAAAGGCGAAUGCUUUUAACGUAAUGUGCGGUUCCUUUGAAAUGGUGGUGUGGAGGGUGCUCGAUUAAGGGCGGUUUUCUUUGGCAGGAUCGGAAAGAGAAAGAGAGAGACGAAGAGAGAGAGAAUAAGAGAGAAACGAAGAGAGAGAGAGGGAGA